UCGUAUCGUGAAACUGCGAAUGGCUCAUUAAAUCAGUUAUGGUUCAUUUGAUCGUACAGUUUACUUGGAUAACUGUGGUAAUUCUAGAGCUAAUACAUGCGAGAAGCGCCGACCUCGCGGGAGGCGUGCAUUUAUCAGACCAAAAACCGGCCGCGUCUUCGGGCGCGUUCGCCUUGGUGACUCUGGAUAACUUUGCGGAUCGCACGGUCUAGCACCGGCGACGGAUCAUUCAAGUGUCUGCCCUAUCAACUUUCGUCGGUACGGUAUUUGCCUACCGAGGUUCUUACGGGUGACGGGGAAUCAGGGUUCGAUUCCGGAGAGGGAGCCUGAGAAACGGCUACCACAUCCAAGGAAGGCAGCAGGCGCGCAAAUUACCCAUUCCCGACGCGGGGAGGUAGUGACGAAAAAUAACAAUGCAGGACUCGUUCGAGGCCCUGUAAUUGGAAUGAGUACACUUUAAAAGCUUUAACGAGUAUCCAUUGGAGGGCAAGUCUGGUGCCAGCAGCCGCGGUAAUUCCAGCUCCAAAAGUAUAUAUUUAAGUUGUUGCGGUUAAAAAGCUCGUAGUUGGAUUUUGGGCGCAGGCGGCCGGUCCGUCGCAAGGCGUGUACUGGACGUCCUGGCCUUCCCUCCGGUUCUCCGCCGGUGCUCUUGACUGAGUGUCGGCGGCGGCCGGAACGUUUACUUUGAAAAAAAUUGAGUGUUCAAAGCAGG
rnacentral:ncRNA from 1 species